rnacentral:tRNA from 1 species
GCGACUGUGAUGGAAUGGAAGACAUAUGACUUUUAAGUUGUCAAGGCAUUAUGCCGUAAAGGUUCGAGUCCUUUCAGUCGCA